GUCCCCAUAGCUCAACUGGAUAGAGCGGCGGACUUCGGAUCCGCAGGUUGCAGGUUCGAGUCCUGCUGGGGACGCCA
rnacentral:tRNA from 1 species